CCGUGGCGGUGGAGGAGGAGGAUGAGGUAGCCAACACUGUUUUUUUAUAUAUAUGUGCCAACAUACAUACAUAUUUUAAUUGGGGUAGCCCCAAAAUUUUGGGACAUAUAAAAAGAGACAACUCUGUUCCGCAGAGUAGCUGUUGACAUUAUAGUUGUGCAGGAACUUUGUUGACUCUAGAGAACCUCGGGCAAAUCGCACAUCCUCAUGGCGGCGACUUUGCAUGUUCAUCCAUAUCAACUUUCGAUGCCAGUUUCUGUGCCUACCAUGGUGACCACGGGUAACAGGGAAUCAGGGUUCCAUUCCGUACAGGGACCCUGAGAAACGGCUACCACAUGCAAAGAAGGCAGCAGG